UCAGCUGUGCCAGUUCAGACUCGAAUAAGUUAAAUUAACAAUUUGUGCGCAUUUUCCUUAAUUAUUGGGCACCUGAGGCAUAAUGCCGUGCUUUAUGUGCACCCAUAAUGUGAAUAACGCCAUCAGCAAUAUCAAAUUCGAUUCCGUCGAAGCUGACUCGCUCGGCUUAAAGCAAAUAAUUGAAAAACACUUUUGGUUUCGGUUGACUGAUUCAGUCAGUGGCUACGUGUGCGGAUCAUGCUGGGAACAACUGUUGCUGUUUCACAACUUCUAUUUAACCGUGGAGAAUGCCCACAAAGCCCUCGCCGCACUGGCAACAAAGCAGCCCGAGGAGACCGAAGAGAACAGCACUCCAACAGCCGUGGUUGCCGCCGUUUAUGGCGGCGCUGUAAAGGAUGAGAACGAGGAAAGCGUGGCAGCUGCCGUGAAGCGCAGGCGUGGGCGUCCACGCAAAACGCCUGCCGCUGCCAAUGACGAAGAAUUUCAGAACGUGCUGGAGCAGAUCAAUUUAAAUGAGAUUAAAAUUGAGUAUCCCGAGGCAGAUUUGACCAUCGCAGAUGUGCUGGAGGAUCAGGAGGAGCAAGACUUUGAGUCACACAGUGACUGCGCAACGGAAGAAGACGAGGACCAACUGGAGAAACCCACACCGACUAUCACUCGCAAGGCUCGUGGACAAGCCCGCGGGCGUAGCCGUGUGCGGCUCGUAGAGAAGCCAAAAAAAGCCCCCGUGUACAAUCAGCAAAAGUCGAGCGAGUUCAAUGAGUACAUCAAGCAGCACUACAAGAUGCAGUGUCCCGUGUGCAAUGCCCCCAUGGAGGGUUUCUCGGAUAUGCUCGUACAUGUGCGACGGGAGCAUCAUCAGCGCGGCUACGCCGUCUGCUGCAAUCGAAAGUUUAGGAAGCGCGGCGUACUGGUUGACCAUCUGCGCCGCCACGAGGAUCCCGACCUCUUCAAGUGCACAAUCUGCGAUCGUGUAAUGGGCCAGCGGCGCAGCCUUGAACUCCACAUGCGAAUGCACAACGCCAAGUCGCAGGGGCGGCUCUACCAGUGCGAUCAUUGCUCGAAGAGUUUCUACAGCGCCGUCGUCUGUGAACGCCACAAACUAACGCACAUUCCUAAGGAGCAGUGCCAGGUGAAGUGUACCAACUGCGACAAGACCUUCCCCACCCAAUACACCAUGCAGCAGCAUUUCAAGCUCGUGCACUUGAACUUAUAUGCCAAGAUCUGCGACGUUUGCGGCAAGUCGAUACGCGGACGGGAAGCACUCGCCCGCCACAUGAAGGAGCACACGGGCGCACCGCAGGCCACCAUCGAGUGCCAUUUGUGCGACUCCAAAUUGACCACCAAAUACGGCCUGGCGCGUCACAUCAAAAUGAUGCACACUCUCGAGAAUCUACAGCCGAUGCAGUGCGAGCUUUGCCUCAAGGUUUCACCCAGCCUGCAGGCGUAUCAGCAUCACCUGAAGUACACCCACAACACGGCACGCAAUCAUCAGUGUCCGAUGUGCGAGAAGGCCUUUAAGCGGCCCAACGAAUUGCGGGAACACUUGACAACGCACACGGGCGAGGUGCUGUACACCUGUCCCCACUGCACGCAAACCUUCAACUCGAAUGCCAACAUGCAUGCCCAUCGCAAGAAGGUGCAUCGAAAGGAGUGGGAGGAGUACCGCCGGCAGCGCUUGGUGCGGGGACGCAAAAAGGAUUCAAUUAUUGCAGCCAGCGUGCGCAAGACCACCGCGGGCAGAGAGGACGGCAGUGCAGAGCCACAAUCCACUGCUGUCGAGGCUCUAGCUAGUCCUCCUGCAGCGGAGGAGUGCUAACAAAGUGGCGCAUAAUAAAGCGAAAAGUAAAUUCUGUUCAAAGAACUGCGAGAAUCAAUGUGUAAAGUGGGGGCUGGACGACUGUAACCGGCUGUAACUGGUUCGCGGAUUGCACCCUGAUCAUCUCGAACUGGUAUAACGGACAUCGAUGCUGCCUUAUCAGCGAUUAAGGUCGAGUCUGCAUCUCAGAGAUCAUCCUGUUUACCGAUGGAAUAUUUUUCGAUUUGUCAAAGAUUUCUAAAAGUACCCAAGAUCUUUGAACCUUUUGUAGGUGUUUCCCCACAAAAUGUUGCUAUUUGCAAGCCUGGGAAAUCACUUCAAGUGGUUCCCAGACCAGACAAUAUAAUGGGAAUCACAAAGUGAACGACCAAACUUCCUUCUAUCGCAUCCCAGAUCCCUUUUGCCAGUAUCCUCUGUACUUACUUGACGAAUUAUAGACGUAUUUUCAUUUGCACAAAGAGA